rnacentral:rRNA from 1 species
ACGGCUCAGUAACACGUGGCUAACCUGCCCUUGGGACCGGAACACCCCCGGGAAACUGGGGCUAAUUCUCGAUAGGUGAAGAACUCUGGAAUGAGUCUUCGCCAAAAAGACGCUUGCGUUAUGCUCGUAGGCGUCGCCCAAGGAUGGGGCCGCGACCGAUCAGGUUGUUGGUGAGGUAAUGGCUCACCAAGCCUUUUACCGGUGCGGGCCGUGGGAGCGGGAGCCCGGAGAUGGGCACUGAGACAAGGGCCCAGGCCCUACGGGGCGCAGCAGUCGCGAAAACUUUGCAAUAAGCGAAAGCUUGACAGGGCUAUCCCGAGUGCCAUCCGCUGAGGAAGGCUUUUACCCAGUCUAGAACGCUGGGGGAAUAAGGAGAGGGCAAGUCUGGUGUCAGCCGCCGCGGUAAUACCAGCUCUCCGAGUGGUGUGGAUGUUUAUUGGGCCUAAAGCAUCCGUAGCUGGCUAAGUUAGUCCCUUGUUAAAUCCACCGAAUUAAUCGUUGGAUUGCGGGGGAUACUGCUUGGCUAGGGGACGAGAGAGGCAGACGGUAUUUCCGGGGUAGGGGUGAAAUCCUAUAAUCCCGGGAAGACCACCAGUGGCGAAGGCUGUCUGCUAGAACGCGCCCGACGGUGAGGGAUGAAAGCUGGGGGAGCGAACCGGAUUAGAUACCCGGGUAGUCCCAGCUGUAAACGAUGCAGGCUAGGUGUUUGGACGGCCACGUGCCGUUCUAGUGCCGCAGGGAAGCUGUUAAGCCUGCCGCCUGGGGAGUACGAUCGCAAGAUUGAAACUUAAAGGAAUUGGCGGGGGAGCAC